AUUGAACGCUGGCGGCAGGCCUAACACAUGCAAGUCGAGCGGAUGAAGGGAGCUUGUUCCUGGAUUCAGCGGCGGACGGGUGAGUAAUGCCUAGGAAUCUGCCCGGUAGUGGGGGAUAACGUCCGGAAACGGGCGCUAAUACCGCAUACGUCCUGAGGGAGAAAGUGGGGGAUCUUCGGACCUCACGCUAUCAGAUGAGCCUAGGUCGGAUUAGCUAGUUGGUGGGGUAAAGGCCUACCAAGGCGACGAUCCGUAACUGGUCUGAGAGGAUGAUCAGUCACACUGGAACUGAGACACGGUCCAGACUCCUACGGGAGACAGCAGUAGGGAAUAUUGGGCAAUGGGCGAAAGCCUGAUCCAGCCAUGCCGCGUGUGUGAAGAAGGUCUUCGGAUUGUAAAGCACUUUAAGUUGGGAGGAAGGGAAGUAAGUUAAUACCUUGCUGUUUUGACGUUACCAACAGAAUAAGCACCGGCUAACUUCGUG
rnacentral:rRNA from 1 species